rnacentral:rRNA from 1 species
GACGAACGCUGGCGGCGUGCUUAACACAUGCAAGUCGAACGGAAAGGCCCUGCUUUUGUGGGGUGCUCGAGUGGCGAACGGGUGAGUAACACGUGAGUAACCUGCCCUUGACUUUGGGAUAACUUCAGGAAACUGGGGCUAAUACCGGAUAGGAGCUCCUGCUGCAUGGUGGGGGUUGGAAAGUUUCGGCGGUUGGGGAUGGACUCGCGGCUUAUCAGCUUGUUGGUGGGGUAGUGGCUUACCAAGGCUUUGACGGGUAGCCGGCCUGAGAGGGUGACCGGCCAGAGUGGGACGGGGAGAAGGCGCGGACUCAUGCGGGGGGAAGCAGGGGGGAAGAGUGCAGAAGGGGGGAAGGCUGGAGGCAGCGAGGCCGUGUGGGGGAGGAUGGGCGUCGGGUUGUAAAAAACUUUCAGCAGAGAAGAAGCGGCAGGGAAGGGAGGUGAAGAAGAAGCAACGGACAACUACGUG